CAAUAGCCGCGGUAAUACGAAGGGUGCAAGCGUUACUCGGAAUUACUGGGCGUAAAGCGUGCGUAGGUGGUGGUUUAAGUCCGUUGUGAAAGCCCUGGGCUCAACCUGGGAAUUGCAGUGGAUACUGGGUCACUAGAGUGUGGUAGAGGAUAGUGGAAUUUCCGGUGUAGCAGUGAAAUGCGUAGAGAUCGGAAGGAACAUCUGUGGCGAAGGCGACUAUCUGGGCCAACACUGACACUGAGGCACGAAAGCGUGGGGAGCAAACAGGAUUAGAUACCCCAGUAGUCCCUGUCUCUUAUAA
rnacentral:rRNA from 1 species